rnacentral:rRNA from 1 species
UACGUAGGGUGCAAGCGUUGUCCGGAAUUAUUGGGCGUAAAGAGCUCGUAGGCGGUCUGUCGCGUCGGCUGUGAAAACCCGAGGCUCAACCUCGGGCCUGCAGUCGAUACGGGCAAACUAGAGUACUGCAGGGGAGACUGGAAUUCCUGGUGUAGCGGUGAAAUGCGCAGAUAUCAGGAGGAACACCGGUGGCGAAGGCGGGUCUCUGGGCAGUAACUGACGCUGGAGGAGCG